rnacentral:lncRNA from 1 species
GUCGUAACCUGAAUUUUUAUGUAACUAAUUAUGACUGUGACUUGGGUAUGAAAGAUUUAUACAAUCAGAAAAGAAAUUACCUGGGUUAUCUCUGAGCAGGCGGGGGAUGAACUGCAUAAGGAAGUUAAUCAGUUUUCUAGGUCAUACAAAAGGCACCUGCACGGUGCUGGGUGGCAUGGCCAGUGGCAGAGGGAGGGAGGGAUGCAGGGGAUGCCCUCCUGGGACCUCAACAGAGCUGCUUUUCCUCCUCCACCCUGAAGAGCAGCCAGCUUUGACCGGGGGGCUUUGGAAUCGACACUUUCUCCCAACAUGACUUUCUCACCCCCAGCUUCCUAAGAGCGACUCAUGGUACGCAACAGUUCCAGGGAAAUUAAAACACAGUGAGAUGAGCAAAGCAAGGCUUAAAGAGCUAAGGAGACUGUGGGAAUGAAGGUUUCGAAGUGGUCUGAAUGGAGAAAGAAGCGGUGGGAGAGCUGAGUCAUCAUGCAGCACACGGCAAGGUAGCAGAAAACCCUGGAGAACAACAGCAGCCUGCCCCAGAGUCAGCCGUGAGCGCUGAUUUAGUUUCAGGAAAACAAUAACACUUUGUCCCAUUAAAUUAAUGUUGUUAAUUUGAAGUUUAUUGGUUUUGCAGUUUGCUUUUAUUUCAUUUAUAAAUUUGUUUUAGCUUUAUGGCUGUGAGAGAGCUCCCUGCAUAAGGAACGUGUACCUGGUUUUAUGUUUGUACAUAUUUAAGUAACAUUAUACUAAAUAUAACUCAAGUCAACAGAGAGCAAUCACAAUGUUUCCCCUCUAAGUGGGGUCUGCACCUUCCUUAAGGAGGGAAAUACAU